rnacentral:misc_RNA from 1 species
GAUGAAGAACGUAGCGAAAUGCGAUAAGUAAUGUGAAUUGCAGAAUUCAGUGAAUCAUCGGAUCUUUGAACGCACCUUGCGCCCUUUGGACAUUCCGAAGGGCAUGCCUGUUUGAGUAUCAUGAACACCUCAACUCUCAUGGCUUGUCUGUGAUGAGCUUGGACUUUGGGGGUCUUGCUGGCCUGUGGUCGGCUCCUCUCAAAUGGAUCAGCUUGCCAGUGUUUGGUGGCAUCACAGGUGUGAUAACUAUCUGCGCUUGUGGUUUUCCAUCAGAUAACCUUCAGUGAUAUGGAGGUUCGCUGGAGCUCACAAAUGUCUCUCCUUAGUGAGGACAGCCCUUUGAACGUUUGAUCUCAAAUCAGGUAGGACUACCCGCUGAACUUAAGCAUAUCAAUAAGCGGAGGA